CCGCUUAAGUCCUCCCACCCGAUUGAGCAUCCCGAGAACAGAAAAGGCAAGGGAGAUACCAAACGCAAAACCCCAGCCCUCGUCUAAGCUUCCCUUUUCGGCCGCUCCAAGCUUCCCACCCACUUUUGAGGCGGGAAAAAAAACAGAGGAAAAUUGGGGGAAAACGUGGGAAAAAUCCACGAAAACAUAGUAAAGACGGAAAACAUUGGGAGGGAUUAACGGUUUCAAGUUGAGGCUGCGAAGGAAAUGGAGCAGCGAUUAGCGAAUAUUGGGCGGAUGACUGUCAAUGAGAAGAAGUUCAUAGAGACCGCUCUUCUUUCCGACCUCAGAAUUGACGGCCGCCGGCCUUUUGAUUACCGUAAACUCACCAUCAAGUUCGGGAGAGAGGAUGGUUCAUCAGAGGUGCAGCUUGGUGAGACACAUGUCAUGGGCUAUGUGACUUCUCAACUGGUGCAACCUUAUCGAGAUAGGCCAAAUGAAGGAACACUUGCCAUAUUUACCGAAUUUUCGCCCAUGGCCGAUCCUUCAUUUGAGGCAGGGCGCCCAGGGGAGUCUGCAAUAGAACUAGGGCGUGUUAUAGACCGUGGUCUUAGGGAGAGCAGAGCUGUGGAUAUGGAAUCCUUAUGUGUUGUUGCAGGGAAAUCUGUAUGGGCCAUCCGUGUGGACCUUCACAUUCUUGACAAUGGAGGCAAUCUCAUUGAUGCUGCUAAUAUCGCUGCUUUGGCUGCUCUCUUGACAUUUCGAAGGCCUGAAUGUACACUAGGAGGAGAAAAUGGUCAGGAAGUUAUUGUUCAUGAUCCUGAGGUUAGGGAACCACUCCCUUUAAUAGUCCAUCAUCUUCCUGUGGCAGUAACUUUUGCAAUCUUUGGCGAAGGAAACAUCAUGGUGAUAGAUCCAACUUACAAGGAAGAGGCUGUUAUGGGAGGAAGGAUGACUGCUACAUUGAACUCAAAUGGGGAUGUUUGUGCUGUUCAAAAGGCUGGAGGAGAGGGUAUCAUGUCAAGUGUAAUCAUGCAGUGUUUGCGGAUAGCCUCUGUUAAAGCUGCUGACAUCACAAGCAAAAUUAAGAAUGCAGUAGAUGCAUACAACACUGAAAGAGCAUUGCGAAAAGUAAAGCGUCAUCCGCCAUCGGUUGCACUUGAAGUCUGUGUACCAGAUGUUAUAAUGGAGGAGAACCAAGUUGAUGAGUUAAGUAGACAUGAAGUGCAGAAUUUAAAAGAUGAGCCAGAGAGAGGCUGUGGUAAUGAUGGUAGUAGAAUUGGAGUUGAAACUAGUACUACUAGAGGAAAAAAUAACGUAUUCAUUGGUGGCCCGUCAAGCUGGGAUCCAUACUCAAAGGGUAUUUCAUCAUGUUUUAUUAGUUCUCAAGAUUUACCUGGGCCUUUAAAGUUGGCUAAGGAACAAGAGGAAGCAAAAAUCAGUCAAAAUUCAAUUGAAUCUCAUCUCGGGGCAACAAAUACUGGGAGUUCUGGUCCUGUUGGAGCCUCGGUUGUGAGCCAGCAAGCUAACUCUCCCAAGAGUCUGAAAGAUGCUGUGAAGCCCAAACAUAGGAAGAAAAAUAAAGCAUCCUCGGCUAGUGACAUGAGCUAGACUUAUCAAUAGUUGCCACUAAGCAUCACACUAUCAGGCACUGUGAAUUAGCUUCUUAGGAAUAAUAUUCGAGGGAAGAAAAAUUCUUUCUAUGAACCAGGCUUUAUAUUGCUGCGAGACAUUGCUGCUUACCCGGCAUUGUGGGAUGAUGCAAGUCAACAUCUUGGAGCAUAUCAUCGUUGAAAGUGCCUGGAUUCCAAACUUAUGGACUUGAGCCCCUCUUGGUAGAGGUUUUCAUCCUUUGCUUGCAGACACAUUUUCAAGGGUUUGGAACCUGAGCUUAGGCUGCUUGGUGACCAAAUCACCCAAUCGUCUCUGAUGAAUUAUCAGCACCGUGGUUGUGGACUCAUUUGUAGGAGUGGAGCCAAUGUUGAAAUGACUCUCAGAACUAUCCUUGCUUGCUGUCUUCAGAAAAUUUUUUGGCACCGUGACAGUUCUAAUUUUUCUUUAAAAGGAACUAUGUAAUUGGAAAUCAAAAAUUAGUUUGCUUGAGUGCUAGAUUUACUUGGUAACUUUGGAUGAAACUGGGCUACUAAUGUGUCUAUUUUAGGGCACGGUCAUUGUUGGAUCUAUAGAAGAUUCUGAACAUGCUUGGGCCAGAAUUGUGUGAUUUGCAUUCCCCAAAGAGUGUCAAAGAAACAGUUGCCAUGAAAAUUAACAUGUACCCCUCUUAUUCGCCACAACAGGCACUUUAAUU